rnacentral:sRNA from 1 species
CCCUAGCCCUGAUGGGAACGGCAUCCUUUUUUGUUUUUUCUGUAAGCUUCUAAUUGUUUACAACAUUUCCUGAAAAACAAAAAAGAUAUAGUGGACAGCAGGUUCCCGG